CGAUUUCUGUGUCGGUGUUUUUUUGGGCCAGUUGGUUUUGGGUUGAUUUCUGUGUUGGUGUUUUUUUGGGCCAGUUGGGUUUGGGUAGAUUUUCAGGUCAAUGGAUUGGGGUUUGGGUGUUUUUUUGGAUCAAAGGGCCAAUUUUAAGUUGAUUUUUGGGUCAGCUGGGUUUGGGUAGAUUUCUGUGUUGGUGUUUUUUUGGGCCAGUUGGUUUUGGGUUGAUUUUCAGAUCAAUGGAUUGGGGUUUGGGUAUGUUUUGGAUCAAUGGGCCGAUUUUAAAGUUGAUUUUGGGUCGAUUUCUGUGUCAGUGAUUUUUUGGGCCAGUUGGGUUUGGGUAGAUUUUCAGAUCAAUGGAUUGGGGCUUGGGUGUUUUUUUGGUACAAUGGGCCGAUUUUAAAGUUGAUUUUUGGGCCAGUUGGUUUUGGGUCGAUUUCUGU
rnacentral:lncRNA from 1 species